GGUCCAGUGGCGUAGCGGUUGACGCGCUAUCGAAAGUGUUAUACUUCUCCUCACGCCAAUGUUUACGAUGGAGACCCUUGUUCGAACCAAGGCUGGACCA